rnacentral:lncRNA from 1 species
CCAGAGCUCUGGCGUUGCCGGCGAACCAGUGACCCCACUCUGAGGCCAUGGCGGCCAGCGUUGGGUGUGGAGCCUACAUCGGAAGCUCUUCUCCCCAGGCAGCCACGGAAGGCAGAACUCAGUCCCCAGGAACUCUGGGAACAGAACAGUCUGAGCCCCACAGAGCCUCGGAACAGAGAUGAAGGCAUGAAUGGGCACUUGUGUCCAGCAGUACUGUGGCAUGCUUCACCAAGUUGGCCGAUGACUUUCCCAUGCAUUCCACUCUGCUGCCACCCUGUAGGAACAUCCAGACUUGGCCGCAAUCUUACUCUGGGAUGGCUCUGUCCAUUCUCAUAAUACCCAUGCAGUGCCUUUUCAACUUCUUUCUCGAGCUGUGAACUUACUGGAGAUUCUUGGGCAAGUCAGUGCUGUUGGUGGUGACAGAGGCUGUUGUACCAGGCAAGCAAAGUCAAACCAAGGAGUUCUGAAUUGGCCUGAACUGAGGUGUAGGUUGGGAGGAGGGUGCUCUACUGAUGACCAAUGCGGGUCAUGGCCAAAGUGUCUCAAACUGCUCCUUUGCCUGGUGCCCUGACUCUGAUCAUAGCUGCAGUGUCUAGACGAAUUGGUAGAGUUUGCUUAGUCUGAUGGGAGAUGAAAGGAAGAACCUGGGCUGCAGUUGCCAAGCUACUGCAGGAUGUACUUUCUCAACCACAUCCAGGUUAACUCAAGAGGAAAAGAAGGAAAGAGGUGCCUCUGGUUUUGCAUCACUGGGGAGGUAAUGACUACAAGAUCUAAACAAGGAGCUCAGAAGUAGCCCUCUCACUGAAUUAGGGAAGCUCUGCAAAGCCACAAGAGAAUUUGAUACUGUAGUAUUCAAGGUACUGUGGAAGUUCACAGGCUACAGAUCUCCUGGGACUGUGCCACUUUUGUAUGCAGACGUGGUUUGGAUGCUGCCCAAGAUAGUGGAGGAAAGACACUUUUCAACGCAUAGGAAAUGAGAAUGGCAAGGAGGGGGAUUUUAGUCAAGCCAUCUCCUUGAUGUAUGCUAAUAUUUUAUGUGCAGGGAAUUUUGACAAACAUUUGGUCAAGUGACACCUGCCCUGCAGACUAAGGACUUACACUCAGAUGUUUUUUCCCCCUUCUCUACUUGGAUCUUUAUUUUUGAGAUUAUAAAACUGCAGGAUUGUUACCAUGUUGCUAUCAUGAGAGGAAGCAUCUGUAGAAAAGCAAUUCCUGUGUGGAAAAAACAGUGUGAGUGAACACACUAAAGAGGCCCUGAAGAGUGCUUGCUUUCCCCAGUAGCAUAUGGCUUGGCUUAUUUGUUGGAGCUCUCCAAACACCUUUCUGCAGUGAAACUGCUUGUCUUUUUCAGUGUGGCAUAUGAUCUGGAGUAUGGGACUCUGUCUCUGGAAACUUCAAAAAUGAUGCUGCAUUUUGAGUUGGUGCUGAACUUGUCUACUCCACCUCCUCUAUUCGAUAUAGUGUGCUUCUUUAAGAUGCAGUAACUUGAGCUGCUUGGUAAAUCUUGUCUCCUUUGACAGAGCUUACCUAGAAUUUGACCCCAAGCCCUGUCAUAUGGAAGUCACUCAAAUACCUGCCCAUGUGAAAAGUAGAUAUUGAAAUCACUGGUUUAGAUAUAUACUAGGUUAUUUCCACUUAGAACCCAU